rnacentral:rRNA from 1 species
GCUUGUCUCAAAGAUUAAGCCAUGCAUGUCUAAGUAUAAAUAGUAUACAGUGAAACUGCGAAUGGCUCAUUAAAACAGUUAUAGUUUAUUUGAUAAUUGAAAAUUACAUGGAUAACCGUGGUAAUUCUAGAGCUAAUACAUGCUAUCAAGCCCGACUUCUUGAAGGGUUGUAUUUAUUAGAUACAAAACCAACCCGGGCAACCGGUCCUUUGGUGAUUCAUGAUAACUUUGCGAAUCGCAUAGCUUUAAUGCUGGCGAUGGGUCAUUCAAAUUUCUGCCCUAUCAACUUUCGACGGUAGGAUAGAGGCCUACUGUGGUGAUAACGGGUAACGAAGAAUAAGGGUUCGAUUUCGGAGAGGGAGCCUGAGAAACGGCUACCACAUCCAAGGAAGGCAGCAGG